AUGCAAAAUGCAUUGUUGAAGCUGUGGGCAAUGGUUGAAGAUAGCAGGAGUGCUAGGGUGAAUGAUAAUCUUGAAAGUUCUUUCACUAUCCACCAUCUGACAGAAGAGAAGAACAAGUUGGAGGCCAACUAUGACAAGCUAGUCCAAGAUGUGCAUGAGCUUAUGAGCUUCCAGGAGGAGAGGGUGGUGGAUUUCAGACAUCUGCAGUCUGCCAUUACAUAUCAGCAUGAAUGCAGAAGUGAACUGGUGGCUGAUAUGAAGGCACAGAUGGCAAAGAGAGAUGCAGAGUCUGAGAAGCUUAAGCAGAAUUAUGAAGUGCUACUGAACCUGACAAGAGCUCAAGCUACAGUCAUCCAGAACCUGAAGUUGAAGCAUAUUACAAACAAGCAAUUGCUUAGUGAAGCUAAGAUGAACUUGGAGUUGAAGAAUGCAGAGCUCACAAAGUCUGAGGAGAAGCUCACCCUAGAUAAGCUAGAGUUGAAGUUUCAGGUUUCAGAUUUGCUUAAGGGAAAGGAAAAGCAUGGUAAAGAGAUGGUGCAGCUAGAGCUUCAGUUUGCUGAGCUGAUGAAGGCAGAGGAGAAGCUGAAGGAGAAGAUCAAGGGGAUCCAGGCCAUCUUA
rnacentral:rRNA from 1 species